rnacentral:rRNA from 1 species
UACCAGCACCCCGAGUGGUUGGGACGAUUAUUGGGCCUAAAGCAUCCGUAGCCGGUCCUACAAGUCUUCCGUUAAAUCCACCUGCUUAACAGAUGGGCUGCGGAGGAUACUAUAAGACUAGGAGGCAGGAGAGGCAAGCGGUACUCAGUGGGUAGGGGUAAAAUCCGUUGAUCCAUUGAAGACCACCAGUGGCGAAGGCGGCUUGCCAGAAUGCGCUCGACGGUGAGGGAUGAAAGCUGGGGGAGCAAACCGG